rnacentral:rRNA from 1 species
UACGUAGGGGGCAAGCGUUGUCCGGAAUUAUUGGGCGUAAAGAGCGUGUAGGCGGUCCGGUAAGUCAGCUGUGAAAGUCAAGGGCUCAACCCUUGAAAGCCGGUUGAUACUGUCGGGCUAGAGUCCGGAAGAGGCGAGUAAUUCCCGGUGUAGCGGUGAAAUGCGCAGAUAUCGGGAGGAACACCAAUGGCGAAGGCAGCUCGCUGGGACGGUACUGACGCUGAGACGCGAAAGCGUGGGGAGCAAACAGG